AUUACUGCAGGAGUCUUUGAGAGAGAACUAUUCCCACUGCCUCUACGGUGAUGGGACACAUGGAAAAGAAAUUCAUUCUGACUCAUUGUAAAAUGGGAAUCAAUAUUAUUUGAUCUUGUGUGAUUCACUGGAGACUUUUGGUCAAUUAGUUGUUACAGAUGCUGUUUUUCAUCCCCCCCCCCAAUCUUGGGUGUUUGGGAAGCAAGAAAAACUGCAUACAUAUGUCUAUGAGUUCUGCAGGGUUUCUUUUUCUUUUUAUGCAGCUUAAAUGAUGCGAUUUUAGUAGCUUCAAAACUCUGGGGGUGCUCAUGUUAACUUAUUAUGAAGUUGAGAUUUACAGAAGAAUAAUACAGACUUACUGCAGAAGAACAGGUGACUCAUAUGGACAUGCUGAUAACUAUAGUGAAAAGAGCCACAGCCCAGGAAGGAAUCCAUCCUGAAGUAUUGUAACGAUAGGAACAGCGAUGAUAUGCAUCAGCAAGAGCUCCCCCCAGCUCUGAGGCUGGCAGCGCUAGAAGUGGAAAGAAGCUCACUGCCACCAUUACUAUCACCAAUACCAAGAGGGCUAUUUUUGUAGACCAUGUGGUAGCAGGCAGCACUUUGCCACUGGUCGCUCUUCUGACUGAAGUUGGAAGGCAGGUCAGCUGAUUAGAUGUAGUGACUGAGUGUAGAGGAGUCAUCAGCUGUGGUGGGCACUUUAGUUGAGGAGAGAAGUCUCUUUAACAGCUCUGAUUCAUCGCUCCUCCAAAAGAGUCAGCAGCAUUUUUGGGGUGGGCACUGGGCAGGAUUAGGCACAACAAUCAAUGCAGAGGAAUUCCCUCUCUGAAGUCCCUGCUUGUUCUGUGGAGGUCAUCCCAAAUGAAGGCAGAAAUCAGUGGUAAUUAAUGGAUUUUCCAACCAUCCCAAAACUAUAAAGCUACCCUUGCAGGAAAACCACUGUAACUAUUCUUCUGAAAUAUGGCAGAUUCAUGCCCUUAGGAGGCUCUACCAUGCCUGCAAAUUUCAUCAAUUCUGUCCAAAACUUUUUAAGAAGUUAUAGACAGUUCUUAAAAAACAAAAAAGAAAGAAGCACACACACUCACAAACAAAAACCCUGGACCUAUUUGUAAUUUGUCAGGCUCUUCCCACUGUGGAGGGGCUAGUAUUCCUGCAAAUUUCAUCCACCUCUGUCAAAAGGGGAAAAAAGAAGGCAUUUUUUGAUUUACACAUAAUAGUGAAUGAGGGAGGAACAAUACUUCAUUUUUUGAAUUGGAACUUUGACUCAGGCUACAAGCUGAAUUGGACAGACUCCAAAGAACUUGGAUCAAAUCUUGUUAUUUUCCAAAGUGCUGAAUCAGACUCCAGACCAAAUCUUGAGGUUGGUGCAUACCCCUAGAUGAAAGCUGCCUUUCGUGGAAGUCUGUUACAUGAACAUUUCACCUUCUGAAUAUUUACCAUGUACCAAAAUCCUUCCGCAUGUUCUGUUCUUUUCAUCGAUUUUGUUUGAUCAUAUUUGGAAUACAACUUUGACAUUGUGUUUGCAUGGCUAACUUCAGUAUUAUCAGAGACAUUAUCAGAGACAGAGGUGCAGGACUGCAUUUUGCAUUUUGCCGUUCAAACAGACA